UCCCUGGUUGACCAGGGCAGUCUCCUGUGACACGUAUAACACAGGACAAGGGUUGCGCUCGUUGCGGGACUUAACCCAACAUCUCACGACGCGAGCUGACGACAGCCAUGCAGCACCUGUCACUCAUCCGGCCGAACUGAAGGAAACCAUCUCUGGAAUCCGCGAUGAGGAUGUCAAACGCUGGUAAGGUUCUGCGCGUUGCUUCGAAUUAAACCACAUGCUCCGCUGCUUGUGCGGGCCCCCGUCAAUUCCUUUGAGUUUUAACCUUGCGGCCGUACUCCCCAGGCGGUCAACUUAAUGCGUUAGCUGCGCCACUAAGAGCUCAAGGCUCCCAACGGCUAGUUGACAUCGUUUACGGCGUGGACUAC
rnacentral:misc_RNA from 1 species